CCCAAAUUUUAACUAUUUGCCAACACUGAAGGUGCAAUUCUGUGCUUCCAAUUGCGCGAGGCAACUCUACUCCGGUGCGACACCAUAACAAUACUCUAUUCACCUUAAAUUUUAAACCCUCAAACUCUCUAUUUUUCGGCCAUAAAAAAUCCCUUUCUACAUUUACAUCUUUGUUAUCCAGCAUUUUGCAGUAAUAAGAAGCUGUAGCUUACGAAAUUCAUUCGCUAACAUUUUUAAGUAUCGAAAGCAAAGUCAACAGAAAAUACCAUUCAGUCUCAUUUGUCACUACAUCUCUCUAUGCUUGAGCUUAUUGGAUAGAGGAAAGAUGCGAGUAGACAGAGUAGUUUGCCGGGCAUGGUGCUUAACGU